GACGUAGGAUGCAAGCGUUGUCCGGAAUUAUUGGGCGUAAAGAGUUCGUAGGCGGUUAUUAAGUCUGGUGUUAAAUACCGAAGCUCAACUUCGGCAUGGCAUUGGAUACUGGUAGGCUAGAGUACGGUAGAGGAUACGGGAAUUCCAGGUGUAGCGGUGAAUGCGUAGAUAAUCUGGAGGAACACCGGUGGCGAAAGCGCGUGUCUGGCCGUAACUGACGCUGAGGAACGAAAGCCAGGUAGCCAAAGG
rnacentral:rRNA from 1 species